rnacentral:rRNA from 1 species
CCUACGGGAGGCAGCAGUGAGGAAUAUUGGUCAAUGGCCGGAAGGCUGAACCAGCCAAGCCGCGUGAAGGACGAAGGUGCCAAGCAUUGUAAACUUCUUUUGUCAAGGGACAAAAUCAGGCUCGAGAGCCUGACCGAGGGUACUUGAAGAAAAAGCAUCGGCUAACUCCGUGCCAGCAGCCGCGGUAAUACGGAGGAUGCGAGCGUUAUCCGGAUUUAUUGGGUUUAAAGGGUGCGUAGGCGGACUGUUAAGUCAGCGGUAAAAGCCCGGGGCUCAACCCCGGCCAGCCGUUGAAACUGGCGGUCUUGAGAUGUCGAGAGGUAUGCGGAAUGCGUAGUGUAGCGGUGAAAUGCGUAGAUAUUGCGCAGAACCCCGAUUGCGAAGGCAGCAUACCGGCGGCGAUCUGACGCUGAGGCACGAAAGCGUGGGUAUCGAACAGGAUUAGAUACCCGGGUAGUC